GUGUGUGUGUGUCUGUGUGUCUGUGUCUGUGUCUGUAUCUGUGUGUAGUGGGUUUGUUUAGCUGAAUAACAUCAUUUUCCUGGGAGGGAUCUAGAAGUCAUCUGAUCUAUUUGGACCAAUGAGAUAUUCCAUAACAUGUUACCUCGCCUCAGAUAUAAAAAAGCGAGGAAGAAGCUGCUGGCUCUCCUCUUCUAGGAGAGCUGCUGGGAACAGCUCCUGGUGGCAGGGGAUCAUCAGUUCUUGUGGAAAGUAGAUUUUUACUGCUGGUUUCCUUUGCCUGUGUGUUUGUAGUGUUAUUAGGUUUUUUCAUUUUUUCUCUGUGUAACUAUAAAACUGCCUUUCUUAGUAAAUCCCAGGUUUUUAUUUUUUGUUUUUCCUGUCCCCCCUUUUGUCUCUGGAGUGGAAUCAGCGCAGCCUCGGUGGACACCUGGUGUUCAGCCAAGGCAGUGUUGGAGUCCUGCCAUCGGCACUUUGAACAGGGAAUCCUUCCUGCCCUCCUGUUAAUUUUCUGUACAUGUGCUGGCAUCCAGGCUGGAGAGAGAAGAGAGUGAGACCUUGGUGAAUGAGAUGGAGGAGAUGAGUGGAAGAGAUGAAUCUCAGGGGAGAAGAGGGAAGGGAACUGUCCUCUGUUGAGGAGAAAAAAAUGCACUGUCUGCUGUGGAAGUU